GAGGCUCUGCUUGUAGCACAGACGCUACCAUAGUCCCGAGGCUCUGUCUGGCAAGACCAGAAGCUCUGCACCUAGCAGAUGCCGCCAUAGUCCCGAGGCACCGUCUGGCAAGGCUGCCCUCACGGCAAAACAGGUUUAAUUUUGGCAGACGCCUUUCGUCAAGCAUGGUACUUCGGGCAAAUCAACCCAUCUGAAGUGCGAUACAAA